AUACGGAGGAUGCGAGCGUUAUCCGGAUUUAUUGGGUUUAAAGGGUGCGUAGGCGGCCUUGUAAGUCAGCGGUGAAACUUUGCAGCUUAACUGUAAAAGUGCCGUUGAUACUGUGAGGCUAGGAUUUGGUUGCUGUGGGUGGAAUGUGUGGUGUAGCGGUGAAAUGCUUAGAGAUCACACAGAAUAUCGAUUGCGAAGGCAGCUCACAAAGCCAAGAUUGACGCUGAGGCACGAAAGUGUGGGGAUCAAACAGGAUUAGAUACCCUGGUAGUCCACACUGUAAACGAUGAUAACUCGCUGUCGGCGAUAUACAGUCGGUGGCCAAGCGAAAGCGAUAAGUUAUCCACCUGGGGAGUACGACCGCAAGGUUGAAACUCAAAGGAAUUGACGGGG
rnacentral:rRNA from 1 species